CAGUUUGAUCAUGGCUCAGAUUGAACGCUGGCGGCAUGCCUUACACAUGCAAGUCGAACGGUAACGCGGGGCAACCUGGCGACGAGUGGCGAACGGGUGAGUAAUGCAUCGGAACGUGCCCAGUAGUGGGGGAUAGCCCGGCGAAAGCCGGAUUAAUACCGCAUACGACCUAUGGGUGAAAGCGGGGGACCGCAAGGCCUCGCGCUAUUGGAGCGGCCGAUGUCAGAUUAGGUAGUUGGUGGGGUAAAGGCCUACCAAGCCGACGAUCUGUAGCUGGUCUGAGAGGACGACCAGCCACACUGGGACUGAGACACGGCCCAGACUCCUACGGGAGGCAGCAGUGGGGAAUUUUGGACAAUGGGCGCAAGCCUGAUCCAGCCAUGCCGCGUGCGGGAAGAAGGCCUUCGGGUUGUAAACCGCUUUUGUCAGGGAAGAAAUGUCCUGGGCUAAUACCUCGGGAAGAUGACGGUACCUGAAGAAUAAGCACCGGCUAACUACGUGCCAGCAGCCGCGGUAAUACGUAGGGUGCAAGCGUUAAUCGGAAUUACUGGGCGUAAAGCGUGCGCAGGCGGUCUUGCAAGACAGAUGUGAAAUCCCCGGGCUUAACCUGGGAACUGCAUUUGUGACUGCAAGGCUGGAGUGCGGCAGAGGGGGAUGGAAUUCCGCGUGUAGCAGUGAAAUGCGUAGAUAUGCGGAGGAACACCGAUGGCGAAGGCAAUCCCCUGGGCCUGCACUGACGCUCAUGCACGAAAGCGUGGGGAGCAAACAGGAUUGGAUACCCUGGUAGUCCACGCCCUAAACGAUGUCAACUGGUUGUUGGGAGGGUUUCUUCUCAGUAACGUAGCUAACGCGUGAAGUUGACCA
rnacentral:rRNA from 1 species